rnacentral:rRNA from 1 species
GUAUAGCGAAGCUAGUUGUAUUAUUAUUUAUUACAAGAUCAACUAUGUCUACUAAAGUUCUAGGUAAAAUAAUGAUGAGGACUUUUUUUUCCCUGUAUGUCUUGACCAUCCCUCGUGCCAGCAGUCGCGGUAAUACGUGGAACAAUAGUGUUAUUCCUCUUUAUUGUGUUUAGGGGGCACCUACACGGUAUUUCUCCCCCAUUGUAGGGUACGGAUUUACUAUAGUUUUGUGUGAGGAGGGGAGUUCUCGUGGAGAAAAGAUGAUCUUUUGUUAUUUUAUGACGGAACUGGGGGAGGCCAACCCAACCUUCUAUGUAUAAACGGACUUUAAGGAACAAAGGCUGGAGUAGCAAAUAGGAUUAAAUACCCUAUUACCCCUGCCAAACAAUUCUGAAUGCCAUAAAUUAAAUUAAUUUUGAUCUAUAAAUGAAGAUGUAGGCAUUCCACCUUAGGAGUAAUGUGUGGCACAGGAACUGAAAUCAUUAUUACCGUUUCUGAAGAAAGUAGUGAAGAAUGUUAUUUAAAUUGUUGGUGACCCAAAAACCUUACCACCACUUGAAUAUUGUAUAAUUAAUACGCUGAGUUGCACGGCUGUCUUAAUGUAAUGUCGAUGAGAUUGUGGUCCUUCCAUUAAUUAACGCCCUUGCUUACUUUAUUU